rnacentral:rRNA from 1 species
CCUACGGGAGGCAGCAGUGGGGAAUAUUGGACAAUGGGCGAAAGCCUGAUCCAGCAAUUCCGCGUGUGUGAAGAAGGCCUUCGGGUUGUAAAGCACUUUAGUGGGGGAAGAAACAGCUUGGCCACACCAAGCCUUGACGGUACCCCAAGAAUAAGCACCGGCUAACUCUGUGCCAGCAGCCGCGGUAAUACAGAGGGUGCAAGCGUUAAUCGGAUUUACUGGGCGUAAAGGGUGCGUAGGUGGCUAUUUAAGUCGGAUGUGAAAGCCCGGGGCUCAACCUCGGAAUUGCAUUCGAUACUGAGUGGCUAGAGUUCGGUAGAGGGCGGCGGAAUUUCCGGUGUAGCGGUGAAAUGCGUAGAUAUCGGAAGGAACAUCAAUGGCGAAGGCAGCCGCCUGGGCCUGGACUGACACUGAGGCACGAAAGCGUGGGUAGCAAACAGGAUUAGAUACCCUGGUAGUCCACGCCGUAAACGAUGAGAACUUGACGUUGGUUCGUUUUACGAAUCGGCGUCGCNGCUACGACGAUAGUUACUCCGUCCGUCGGGUAGGUACGGCCGGCCGAAGGUUAGGUAAACGUUAAAAGGUAAGUUAGUACGGCGUGAGACGUGCCGACGGACGACGACGAGGGAGGAGG